AGCACCCUUUUAAAAAAAAAUCACAAUAUAAUAAUACACUAAUUAGACUCAAGGGCAGAACUACUUAAAUUAGAAUGCAUGCACCCUCAUUAAAGUCUUUUAUCUCGUUUCUCGAUUUUCGCGUAUUUUCAAUUAUUCGGCGGCCGCCCAAGGCGUCGCGUGUGACGCCGGUCGGUCGCUUUUGCCCAAAAUUUCUCCGUUGGCUUCUCGCAUUUUCCAUCUUGAUAUCGAAAUAAAAUCCCCAAAAUUAUAAAAGUGCAUAAUUAAAUUAUCGCAACCAUUUCCCCUCGAAAAUAUAUUUAUUCAGGAUAAAAUUAUUCAUCCUCCGAAAUAUUCUGGGAUUAAUUAAAUAAUUCUCAACAAUUAAAUUAUCGGUCCAAGGAUUAAUUUAAUUUGACCCAAGAUAAUUGUUAUCUUAGCCCACCUUAUUUCUCCAAUUUAUUUAGCGAGGCCCUAAAAGAAAUAGCCCAAUAUACUUAAUUAUUUCCCCACCCUUAUUUCUCCUCAAUCAACUAACAAGGCCCAAUUAUUACUUAGGCCCAAAGAUUUAUUUAAUUGGCUCACAACCAAAUCACCCAUCUUAUAUCUCCAUUUAAAAAUUUAAAUGGCCCAUCCUUAUUUUUCCACCAUUAAAAGAAAGGGAGCCCAACAAAAUAAAAGGAGGCCCAAACACACUCCCUUCUCCACCAUCGGUAAUCCUCCCUUUCUCAUUCCACAUAACAAAUUGUAAGAACCCCCAAAUUGAAGAAAGCCCUCAAAUCCGUCGAUUUCCCCAAACAAAAUUCUCUCCCCCGUCGACUACACACCGUCGCCGCUACUCCAAAUUGCCGAUUCCCGAAGACCAGAUUUGCCACUGGAGUACCACGCCUCGCUGCUCCGUCCACUGCUCAAACACGACGUCCUUGCGUCGGUUUAAUACCGUCGCUGCUUUCUCCCAAAUCUCACUCCUCCGCCACCGCCGGAAGAGCUGCUGCUGUCGCCGCCGGGUCAGGCUGCUGCUGUCGCCGCCGCCGCUCCUCGUGCUGUUGGAGCAGUUUCCCGGCGCCACUCCAGCCUCGGCCUCCGCCUCCUCGCCGAACUCCCGGAAGGUCGUGAAAUUAGUGACGAAUCGGGGUGUGUGGCUGCCACGACGGUGUGCCGAAACUCAGUAUCCGGAAUUCCGGCAGAUUCGUAUUCUUGAGAUAAGUUGUUAACUUGUGCUUACUAUAGGUGUAGAACUUGGUUUCUCUAUUUUAUGAACUCGAUGAAUUCAAACAAUUGUCUUGCUACUAAAAACUUGAUGGUGAAAUCAGGUUGAACUUCUGUUUGUUGUUAAUUUCAAUUAGGCUGAUUCUAUUUUCAAAUUAUACAUGCAUGCUUGUACCUAUACGAAGGAAAAGAAAGGCUUUAGUUUUACCUUGGGAAUAAAGUGAUGAUGGAUUGUUGGGUUGGACUCUAUAAUUAUCUGCACUGCAAUAUCCCAUCUCUUGCUCCUCCUAAUCUCCCAUUCGAAAUAUGUGUGUGUGAAGAGAAGUUUUGGGAUGUUUGAUGUUGAUGGGUACUUGAAAGUGCAAAGACGUGGGGGGGGGGGUUAUACUUGUUCCUUUGCAAGUUGCUAUGCAAGUUGUGGGGAGAGAUUUAGGGAGUAGGGAGAAUAUAUAUUAAAUUGAUUUAUUGACUUGGUGACCAAGUUAGACUUGGGGACCAAGUUAGGAAUUUUUUUUUAAGUAAUUAAUUGAUUAUUUAUUUAUUAUUAAAGUAAUUAUUGAAGUAUUUGCUCACUUGUUCAUUUAAUUUGGUGUAGGUAUAAUCGGUUCAAGUUCGUGGCUGUCUGCGUUGAAGUACCCGAUUUUCUAAAACGCAGGAUGUAUAGAUAAAUUUUUGUUGGACUUUUAUUGGAUGUAUCGGACAUUAAGAUUUUAAAUUUUCGGGAUCUUAUUUAUUUAUGUUUAUUAUA